GUCCAGCUGCAACAAGAUUGCGGAUUCUUGGCGACCAUCUGAAUUCAGCGAGGAAAUAACAAUACUGUGCACCGAGACAGUGGCAACUGCCGCCUUAAACAUCUCGCUUUGCAUUUCAAAUACUCUUUUUUUUCCCCUGUUUUCUCUGAUGUAGGUGGCAGGUAGAGCUGGGAACAAAGGUAUAGCAGUGGAAAGUACUUGCUUUUCUUGAGAGAGGUGUCUCUUUCUGAACAGCUGGACGAAAAUCAUCAGUUUUGUUGCAGGACGUGCAGUGUAAUCGUGCGUUUUGAGAGGCUGAGGUUUGAGCUCAACGUCAUUACCGCUGGCACAUGAACAGGCUGAUACUCACACUCAGCAUCACGUUCCUGAGCAAUUCGUUUAGGAAAUGACCAAGGGAGGAGUGCCAGAGCUCUCCUUGCAAGAAGCAGACUGUCCUUUACCCAGAGGAAAAGAACCUGGAAGUUUUUAUCCCUAAACCACGCCAUAUACACGUGUGUUUGGAAGCUGCACCUACGCCUGACGCCCUGCCCAGCACUGCCAAACGCCAGCAUCUCGAGUGAUCUGAAAAUUCAGCUGUCUUCGUGAGUUAAAGCACUUCUCCAACAGCGUCAUUGCCUGGUUUGCAAAUGUUUCUGAUCUAAUGCUUUCAGCUGUCAUCCAACUGCAGCACGUCUGGGGCAGAGGCCACAUGCUGGUGUUUGUUUAUUUGUUUUUUCCUUGCUUAGGAGUGGAGCAGCAAAGCUGGGACAGUGGCAUAAAUGCAGAUAAAAACCAAGGAUCUCAGCACACCUCCUCCAUCGGAUGCCAAACGUUAGAUACUUACAGCAGAGGUGCUUUUGUGUGAUCCGUGAGGACAAGCUGGAGUUUCGGGAAAUACCCGGUGGUUGGUUCUGAUCUGCUUUGAAAACAGCCUUCCGGAAGCAUCCCAGAAUUUUACCAGUUUAUCCCAAAUUUCAGGGGUGAACGCACAGUUCUUGGGGGCAGGGCUGGGACAUCUCCAGGUCGAGACGAACCAAUUUCUUUCCAUAACCCAGUUUUCAGAGGAAUGAGCUUGUCGAGGAAGUCGUAUUCCCUCAUUCGGAGGCCAGAAAUUAAGCAACAUCCCUAAAUUCAGACACAGCUCUUGAAAUAGCUGUUUCCUUUUUCAAUAUCUGCGUGUUCACCGACAGAGCUGGAAGCCCCGCAGCCCACAGGGAGCGUACGUACUCUGGCAGUGGGUGACAACCCCAGAGGCUACAGCCUGGAUCAAUAAGGCAGGCACAAAAACAGGGUGGUGAAAUGAUUUACUUAAAGAUAAGACUUAUCUCUCUGCACCCCAAAAAACGCUAGCCCCUCGAUUGCCUGAUGGAGCUGCAAGGAGCACGGCCUCACGGGCAGGGCAAUGGUUAAUUCGACACGAAAGCAGAAGAGAGCAUCUCGCUACGGAUUUAAUUCACCCACUUGCCUUCCCUUACCUCCAUUGUAAACCCGAGGGCCUGCAUUCAUACAGGAGUGCUCCUGCUAGAAAUGACGCUGGCAAUAAAUAUUGUGAAAAUCGGCAUUGUUUUGUUAAAAAAAAAAAAAGAGAGAGAGAGAGAGAGAGUGGAUGUGCACCUCCAGUGACCUCGAUUUUUCACUUCGCUGGAGUGAUUAUAAAUGGCUUUGCUUCUCCAUCAGCUCUGUCACAGACAGGACUCCUUCUUUUUGCCUCGCUGCCCAGAUACAGGUGUGCCGAAUUUUUUAUUCCUGCCUCCAAAUGCUGCCUGCGUGCCAAGAGCGAGAGCGCAAGACAUGGAUGGAAGACAAAUUGUCGGGGCUACCCAUGCCGAAAGGGCAUGCAGGAUGGGUGCAGGGGCAGUGCUGGACUCUUCCCAUCCGUGGCUCAGCUCAGCCCUCGUGGAUCUCACAGAGCUGGGGAUGUGCGUGCAGAAAGAGAGAUGGAUCAUGAGGAGCACAGCCCUGGAGGCUUCCCUUGCGGUUGUGAGGGUAUCCAAAGGUGUAAAGGAUGGCUAAAAUGAGGGACGUAGCUUGGGCUGGGUAUUGAAGGGGAUGUGAUGAGGAGGGCUUGGCAGGAAUUAAGGAAAAAUUGGCCCUGCCUGACAGCAAGGUCCCCUUCUCUGUGCUGCGUGGUGUUUAUCCAGCCGUGCCGAGGAAUAGGCACGCCCGUGCCAGGAGCUGGGAAGCGAAACUGCGCAAAGACGGGGGGAAAAAAAUAAAAAGAAGAAAAAAAAAUAAAAAAGGAGAGAGAGAGAGAAAGAAAUCCAAGCUCAAAGAAAAAAAAAAAAAAAAAAAAAAAAACUGGAGGAAAAAGCACCAGGCCAGAAAGCCAGUGUGCUGAAAUUAAUUAGUUCGGACUGGGUCUGCCGGGCGCUCGCAGUAGCGGAGGGGCCGCAAUCCUCGCCGUGCUCGGGAAUGUCACACUCGGGCACAGCGGCUGCUUUCCAGCCUUUCCUUCGCUCCCCCCGCACGCUGAGCUGAAGCCAAGGAGGGAGAGGGAGGGAGGGAGAGAGGGAGGAAAAAGCGAGGCCGAGAGCUUUCUGCGGUCGGCGGGGGCCUAUAAAUAGCCGCUGAAGUCUUCUAAUGCCGAUGGGGUGCGUCAUGCUGGCCCUCCCCGCUCUCGCUCCGCUCGCCGGCCCCGAGCUCGGAGAAGGGGGGGUAAAAAUCCCGAGGAUGCUGCUGGCCUCGUGCAGGCGUUGCAAAGGGUCUUCCAGGUCCCGUCACCCUCGCAGGGGGCAAAAGGCAGAGGCGGAGAGGUGCCAGAGGGGAUUUUGAGACGGUGUUUUCCGUCCUUGUCCCUGCCGCAAGCCACUGGGGAUGGCCCCCUUGUUUCUUCUGUGAGCCCCCAGGUGCAGCCCCCAGGUGCAGCAAGCUGUGCUGGGGCUCUUCUUGCAAAGAACCCAUGUCCAAGGCAAUAUAAUGCACAGGGAGGCCUUUUUUACUAAACCAAAUGAGAUCCCAGUCAUUUUUCUUUUUUUCAUUUGCAACACUGAGGUAUUUUUGAGCAUCUUGACGCUGCUUUAUUUCUCUGUUUUUGCUCCAGUCCCUUAUUCUUUUAGGAUUUGCUUACAUCAAUCCAUCAGGAAGAAGCAGGGGAACGUGCUGAUGAGCAUCUUGUCUGCAUAAACUUGUCCGAAACUGGACCUGCUAAAGGCAAAGCUGCCAGGCUGACACGUGGGAUAUGCUUCUUCUCAAGGAACGCAGUGAGUUCUCCCAGAUUUGGGGCUCUCCUUGGAGAGCACGUGGGGAGCAGCACGUGGUGAUCUCUGCCACAUCAGGGCAGUCUGAAGUGUCUGAAGCAGUGAAAAAUUGCCAAAGAGAGGGUGCAGGAUCAUCUGCCCCUAGGAACAACCCCAUCCCAAGCUGAGCUUCAAAGGUAUCCAAGCAUCACUGACGUCCUGGUGUCCAAAGCAAAGCUUAAGCUUCAAAACUUAGGGGUUUGUUGCUGUUUUGAAAGGCUGGGUGCAGAAGGAACCCCAGCCUAAGGUCCAGUGAAUGAAAUUCCUGCCGUGAAAUGUCUGGCCAGGCUCUCUGUUCAGAGAUGGAGAAUUUGCCCUGCUCCCGACGGGUCCUGUAUCGAGGAGGAAAUGCCAAUGGAUGUGUCAGAGGGGCUUUUUGGUUUGGUGCCGUCUCAAGCAGCACUGGAUAUAGGCACAAUUGUAGAGACCUUCAGCUCUUCAUGUUUUUAGCACCCACGUUGUUAGUACGGGUACACACACCUUUCAAAGGCACAAAUAAAACAUGCAGCUCAA